rnacentral:tRNA from 1 species
GUAUAUAUAAUUUAAAUAAAAUAUUAAACUGUGACUUUAAUUAUAAGAGUUUGA